GCCUCGGUGGUGUAGUGGUAGUAGCACGCAUCCUCGGUAUGAAUGAAACGCGGAUUCGAUUCCUGUCCUGAGGCU